CUACUUUGCUGACGAGCGGCGGACGGGUGAGUAAUGCUUGGGAACAUGCCUUGAGGUGGGGGACAACAGUUGGAAACGACUGCUAAUACCGCAUAAUGUCUACGGACCAAAGGGGGCUUCGGCUCUCGCCUUUAGAUUGGCCCAAGUGGGAUUAGCUAGUUGGUGAGGUAAUGGCUCACCAAGGCGACGAUCCCUAGCUGGUUUGAGAGGAUGAUCAGCCACACUGGGACUGAGACACGGCCCAGACUCCUACGGGAGGCAGCAGUGGGGAAUAUUGCACAAUGGGCGCAAGCCUGAUGCAGCCAUGCCGCGUGUGUGAAGAAGGCCUUCGGGUUGUAAAGCACUUUCAGUCAGGAGGAAAGGUUAGUAGUUAAUACCUGCUAGCUGUGACGUUACUGACAGAAGAAGCACCGGCUAACUCCGUGCCAGCAGCCGCGGUAAUACGGAGGGUGCGAGCGUUAAUCGGAAUUACUGGGCGUAAAGCGUACGCAGGCGGUUUGUUAAGCGAGAUGUGAAAGCCCCGGGCUCAACCUGGGAACUGCAUUUCGAACUGGCAAACUAGAGUGUGAUAGAGGGUGGUAGAAUUUCAGGUGUAGCGGUGAAAUGCGUAGAGAUCUGAAGGAAUACCGAUGGCGAAGGCAGCCACCUGG
rnacentral:rRNA from 1 species